rnacentral:lncRNA from 1 species
AAAUGAUCUCUGAACUUAGAAAUUGGUUCUUGAGUGAAACCUCAACUUCUUUGUGUUUAAUUAGAUUUCAGUUGCUCCACUUAAAAAAGGUCACCUAAAUUUGGAAAAGACAACCAAUUCUAAUUGUGACAAUCUAAUGCCUGCUGAAUUUUCUUAGAAAGGUUAAAGUCCUUUUUUCCAUUCACUUGGUAGCAUUUAUCCAGGAUUUUUUUUUUUUUUUUUUUUUUUUUUUUUUUUUUUUUUUUGAGAUGGAGUCUCGCUCUGUCGCCCAGGCUGGAGUGCAGUGGCGCAGUCUUGGCGCAGUCUUGGCUCACUGCAAGCUCCGCCUCCUGGGUUCACGCCAUUCUCCUGCCUAAGCCUCCGGAGUAGCUGGGACUACAGACGCCCGCCACCACGCUCGGCUAAUUUUUUGUAUUUUUAGUAGAGCCGGGGUUUCACCAUGUUAGCCAGGAUGGUCUCGAUCUCCUGACCUCAUGAUCCACCCUCCUCGGCCUCCCAAAGUGUUGAGACUACCGGGAUGAGCCACCGCGACCAGCCGCAUUUACCCAUACUUUCACCACAGCACACCAAAAAAAAUCUUGAGUCCUCAAAAAAAAGGAGGCAUGUGCCUGCUGCAGAGCUCCCCAGGAUUCAUGGGAGUGCUCCUGCUAACCCCGAGUCAGGGCCAGCGCCAUAGCUGGGUGCCCACCACACGCUUCGUAUAAUGUUCCAUCACCUAUUGCUGCAGAACAAACUGGCCCCCAAACUCAGUGACUUCAAACAACUGUUUUAUUUUGCUCAUGAUUUGGUGGGUCAGGAAUUUGGAAAGAUCUUAGCUGGGCAAUUUGUCUAGGAUCUACAUGGUAUCCACUAAGACAGCUGCUAGAUGAUGGAGUUCCAAGAUGGUUUCUUCACUCACACGUUUGGCACCUCGGUGCUUCUUGGCCGCAGUCUCUACAUGGCUCGGGUUCCUCACAGCACGGCGGUUUCAGAGUAGUCAUACUUAGAUGGCAGCUGGCUUCCAAAAGCAAGUGUUCCAAGAGUGGAAAUCGAGUAUAAAUAUGGAUAUUUUUCUAACUCAGUCUAAGAAAUUACAAGAAAGGAAGAAUAAUUCAAACUUGUGUUGUAAUACUAAGCCUCAGAAAGUCACUCAACAAAGGGUGACUGGGUUGUCCUCCAACAUGAAGCAGUGCUGAGCGGGGACCACAGCAUCACUUCUGCCGUAGUCUACUAGUCAAAGCAGUUGCAGAGUUCAUCCAGAGUCAAGGAGGAACAGACACAGUCCUCACCUCUCAAUGGGAGGGACAUCCAAGAACUUGUAGCUGACUUUAAUCUGCCAUAUAUUUUUUAAAAUCUCAUUUAAUCUGUAUAAUAACACUAUGAAGUAGGUGUUACAGUCUCCAUUUUACUGAUGAGGUUUGACCAUGCCUUGUCCAAUGAGGUGUAAGGAGGAGUACUGUGUAACUUUUAAAGAUGUCCCUAUGACUCAAGGAUGUCAAAAAAUUUAAGUGUCCUUAAAGAAAGAGUUCUUUAUCUCUUCUGCUGAAUGCCAUGCAGAUGUGAUCACUGGCACUCAAGCAGCCAUUCUGAAACACGAGGGAGCAUGCUAAGGUGGAGGAGUAGUAAUACAGAUGGAGCCCCAGUCUUGACGAUCACGGAGGUGCCAUACCCGCCUUGGGCAGCUGCCUCUGGACUCCAUUUAAAAAUGCAUUGUGAAGACUGUUUCUCUAGCUGUGCAGCUGCAAGGUCACUAGACAGAUAAUCUGAAGUCGUAAAACAUGUUGUGCCUUAAAAAGUAAGAAAUAAUAUAAUGCAUGUCUCAAUUGAAUAACUGUCUUUGUUUCUCGCUUCUGUAAUAUGCUUCCCCCUGCACAGAUCUCCCCCCGCCCCACGAAAUGCUUAAAAGGUAGCUUGACUCUUUGUUCAGAGCUCAGUCCUUUGGAUGUUAAUCCAACUGGGUCGGUGCACCUAAAUAAUUAAAUAAUUGCUCCUCA